rnacentral:rRNA from 1 species
UAACCUGCCUGGUAGCGGGGGGUAACUAUUGGAAACGAUGGCUAAUACCGCAUAAGAGUAGAUGUUGCAUGACAUUUGCUUAAAAGGUGCAAUUGCAUCACUACCAGAUGGACCUGCGUUGUAUUAGCUAGUUGGUGAGGUAACGGCUCACCAAGGCGACGAUACAUAGCCGACCUGAGAGGGUGAUCGGCCACACUGGGACUGAGACACGGCCCAG